rnacentral:tRNA from 1 species
GGGAAUAGCUCAGUUGGUAGAGCAGCGGACUUUUAAUCCGUUGGUCCCGCGUUCGAGUCGCGGACGACCCACCA